CGUUUGUGUUACGUCACUUCCAGGCGGCCCAAGAUGGAGGCCGGGCCGAGCGAGCGAGACCCGUUCCUACGGCUCCGGCGCCACUUGCGGCAGGAGGUGGAGUCGGGCGCACUGCUGCAGCCCCCUCAGGACGGCGGCGGUGCGGCCGAAGAAUCUACAGCACUAGAGAAAAAAGAGAAGCCUCUUCCCAGACUUAACAUUCACUCUGCAUUCUGGAUUUUAGCAUCCAUUGCUGUGACUUACUAUUUUGAAUUUUUUAAAACCGUUAAAGAGACCAUUCAGGCAGAUAGUUGGUCAUUUGUCAUUGGUAGCUGUUUGUUGGCUGCAAGUUUAUCUCUUGCUUUUUACUGCAUAUUAUAUCUUGAAUGGUACUGUAGAAUUGAAGACUACGAUGCCAAAUAUCCAGUAUUGAUACCUGUCACAACUGCAACUUUUAUUGCAGCAGCAAUUUGUUUCAACAUUGCAUUAUGGCCCGUUUGGUCAUUUCUCACCCCUGUGUUGCUGUUCACUCAAUUUAUGGGAGUUGUGAUGCUUAUAUCACUCCUGGGUUAGGUCCAUUAAGGAGAGAAACAAUACAGUUGAGCCAGGGUUGAAAUUAAUAGCAGGUGUCAAGAAGUCUGCCUCUACAAGGAAGUAACUAACUUGGUUCAACUUUAACAGCUGUAGGUUCUUUGUGGACUUUGACUUGCAACAUUCUAUUUCAAACUUCUUUAAGAUUCUAUUUUGCAUUUGCAAAAUGUGAAUCAAUUCAGAAUUCAUGCCUGAUCCAUCCAUGCCUAGCUGCCUUGCAACCAAAUAUUGCAGGGGGAACUGGUAUGCAGGUAGUGGUGCAUUCUCACAAAUUGGAUGAUUGGUAAUAUUUGUUACUUUAAUUUUAGAUAUUGUACUUAAUAACUCAGUUGUAAAAGUAAUCUUGUGAUGAAUGGUAAUUCUGAACCCUUUUAAACAUUUAAAUGUAAGGAGGUGAGUUUGGCUGAACUUCAGUAUAGUUUCUCUUCCUGUAUAUCUGCUAAAUUAUUGAUAUGUGGAAUCUGAUAAACCAUUGAUUCUGAAGUAGUAAUAUAAACUUACAAUAUUCCAUAUGUUAAAAUGCAUUAAAAGAAAGGUUCUAAACUGUUACCUAAUAAUUUACUGGGCCUACUUUAAUUUCUGAUGAAAUCAUGAGCUAUAGCUGAGGUUCCUGGAUCUGAGAGGGGCCUCCAGAGUAGUUUGAAGUUUGAUGUACUGAUAACUGGAAUAAAUUGGCUCAAAAGAGUGAGUGUCAUCAGAAAAUCAUGCUGUGCUCUCAUAAUUCUUCAUGACCAAAUGUAGUGACUCCAUGACCAGCUUCUGCCAGCACUGUGACAAAAGCAAGUGGCAGCAGAAAGUUCAGUUUAAAAAUUGAUAUGCGUUCAUAUUUCCCCAAUAAAAGCUUAGCAUACUGCUUCUUGGAAAAACAUCUUUAUUUAAAAAAAAACAUAUGCAACUUAUUCUGGGAUCUUUGCUUUUUGGAUAUAAGUAAUGGAAAACUAUAUUGUACUCUGAUAUUAAACAUUACCAGUUAGUUCAUUUUGUGUAUGGAAAUGAAAGCUUCUUGUUGCUGUCCCCCCCCCCCCCAGCUUUUUUUUGCUCUUAAUAAUAGAGAGGAACAUUUCAGUAUUUUCUAAUGGAAAAACUGCACAGUGUUUAGUCACCAGGCUGUCGGGUAAAGAGCUCUGGGCCAGAUCCAAAACCAAGAGACUUAAGUGCCUUAAGCAGGACUUGGGCAUCUAAAGUCUGCCUCACUCCAAAAGUAAACGGGGGAGGAGGGAGAGCCUGCUUUAGCAGCUGCCAAACCUUGAAAUAACCUGUAAUUCAAUAGGUACCUCUCUGCUCAAUCUGAAAACUCUCUAGCCACACAUGGCUUUGCUUCUGCAUAUGCCCCAUGACCAAAAUGGUAUACAAUAUAGUGGUUAGAAUAUGGUUUUGGAAAGUGGCAGGUAUGGAUAUAAAUCCCCUCAAAUUAGAGGGAAUUUAACUGACAUAAUCUGUUACUAGAUGAGUGCUCUAACUACUACACUGUUGUAUACAAGAUGUUCACAAUUGUUUAAAAAGUGACCAACAGCUGCAAAACAGCUUUAUUCUACCUUUCAUAAUAUAUAGCAUAAGGAGCUUCACCACCAGUCUCUGUGAUUUGGGAUUCUGCUCUGCACUGGGCACCAAAAACUAAGUUUUUGCAGUUGUUGGUAAGUCUUUUUUGGCCUCCAAUCUAAAAUACCACCAAAACUAGUCAUUUUAAAACUUUGUCAACAAGUGUAGAAGAGUCUCAAUAGAGGAUGCUGAAUCAGUUUAUCUGGAUGCAUAAACAACUCCAUUUAUGAGGUCAUUAUUAGCGGUAGAUCCACAAUACAUGUAAUGCUUGGCAAAUAUCUAUAUGGAUGAAACUGAUAUGCAUAAAGGAAACAGACUGUAUAGAUAUAUAGACUAUGCAUUAAGCUAAUAAAGUAAAUGUUAGUCAAGCUGUCAACUUAAUUUUACUUUUUAGAUUCAAGUAAAAUGUUUAUUCUCACAAAAUCUUACAAGGGAGAAUUUUCAUACAUACAUUUUCACUUUCUUUUAACAGCUACCACAAUACCAUGUUCAUAUCUAUGUAAAUUCAAAAUAAAUGUUGUUUAUCCUGAUAUUUCAAAUGUAUUAUUCAAAUGUAUUAUUGUUCAGGGAUAAUAGUUCUUGCCAUUGUACACAUUAACCAGAUAAAUGUUUACGUUACUUUAAAUUGUUUUUAAUUAUUUUCUGAUUUGGCAUUACUAUUUGGUACCUGCUUAAUUUUCCAAAGCUUUUUUGACUGAAUAUUUUUAAUAAAGUUUCUUUAUAUACAGAAA